rnacentral:rRNA from 1 species
GAUGAACGCUAGCGGCAGGCCUAAUACAUGCAAGUCGAACGGUGUCUUCGGACACAGUGGCGCACGGGUGCGUAACACGUAUGCAACCUACCUUACAUUGGGGGAUAGCCUUUCGAAAGGGAGAUUAAUACCGCAUAAGACAGUAGCUGGGCAUCCAGCAGCUGUUAAAGAUUUAUCGAUGUAAGCUGGGCAUGCGUCCAAUUAGCUAGUUGGUGAGGUAACGGCUCACCAAGGCAAUGAUUGGUAGGGGAACUGAGAGGUCAAUCCCCCACACUGGCACUGAGAUACGGGCCAGACUCCUACGGGAGGCAGCAUUAGGGAAUAUUGGGCAAUGGACGCAAGUCUGACCCAGCCAUGCCGCGUGCAGGAUGAAGGCGUUAUGCGUUGUAAACUGCUUUUAUACAGGAAGAAACGACUCUUGCGAGAGGCAUUGACGGUACUGUAUGAAUAAGCACCGGCUAACUCCGUGCCAGCCGCCGCAGUAACAC